UGGGAACAGUGCAAAUCUGCCUUUGUGGCUC
rnacentral:piRNA from 1 species